rfam:Beta vulgaris subsp. vulgaris Bvchr3.sca011.con0056.1, whole genome shotgun sequence.
GAGCAAGGUCAUAAAAUUUAGAAUGGUGGAAUUUUGCAUCGAAGGUUGGCAAUUAUGAAACAUAGGAUGAUUCUCCGUGCCUUUCGAACUCUGUUUGAGUCGAUUGUGGCCUCGAACAAAUCGCUGCAUG